UACAGGGGGGGGCAAGCGUUGUUCGGAAUUACUGGGCGUAAAGGGCUCGUAGGUGGCCAACUAAGUCAGACGUGAAAUCCCUCAGCUUAACUGGGGAACUGCGUCUGAUACUGGAUGGCUUGAGUUUGGGAGAGGGAUGCGGAAUUCCAGGUGUAGCGGUGAAAUGCGUAGAUAUCUGGAGGAACACCGGUGGCGAAGGCGGCAUCCUGGACCAAUUCUGACACUGAGGAGCGAAAGCCAGGGGAGCAAACGGGG
rnacentral:rRNA from 1 species